rnacentral:rRNA from 1 species
CGGUGAAAUGCGUAGAUAUAUGGAAGAACCCCAGUGGCGAAGGCGGCUGUCUGGUCUGUAACUGACGCUGAGGCUCGAAAGUAUGGGUAGCAAACAGGAUUAGAUACCCUGGUAGUCCAUACCGUAAACGAUGAAUGCUAAGUGUUGGAGGGUUUCCGCCCUUCAGUGCUGCAGCUAACGCAUUAAGCAUUCCGCCUGGGGAGUACGGCCGCAAGGCUGAAACUCAAAGGAAUUGACGGGGGCCCGCACAAGCGGUGGAGCAUGUGGUUUAAUUCGAAGCUACGCGAAGAACCUUACCAGGUCUUGACAUACUAUGCAAAUCUAAGAGAUUAGACGUUCCCUUCGGGGACAUGGAUACAGGUGGUGCAUGGUUGUCGUCAGCUCGUGUCGUGAGAUGUUGGGUUAAGUCCCGCAACGAGCGCAACCCUUAUUAUCAGUUGCCAGCAUUAAGUUGGGCACUCUGGUGAGACUGCCGGUGACAAACCGGAGGAAGGUGGGGAUGACGUCAAAUCAUCAUGCCCCUUAUGACCUGGGCUACACACGUGCUACAAUGGAUGGUACAACGAGUUGCGAACUCGCGAGAGUAAGCUAAUCUCUUAAAGCCAUUCUCAGUUCGGAUUGUAGGCUGCAACUCGCCUACAUGAAGUCGGAAUCGCUAGUAAUCGCGGACUUCCAUGCCGCGGUGAAUACGUUCCCGGGCCUUGUACACACUGCUCGUCACACCAUGAGAGUUUGUAACACCCAAAGUCGGUGAGGGUAGUGUUUCCNGCNUAGGA